rnacentral:ribozyme from 1 species
UCCCCAGCAACUCCUAUCCCUACCUCCUCGCGGUACCGGCCGGAAACUAUGAGCAACCUUAGAGAAGAUCGGGUAACCAACCCCGGUGGGAACUUUGGUCGUAGGCUGACAGGGAAGG